rnacentral:rRNA from 1 species
UACGUAGGGUGCAAGCGUUGUCCGGAAUUAUUGGGCGUAAAGAGCUCGUAGGCGGUCUGUUACGUCGGCUGUGAAAACCUGGGGCUCAACCCCGGGCCUGCAGCCGAUACGGGCAGACUAGAAUUCGGUAGGGGAGACUGGAAUUCCUGGUGUAGCGGUGGAAUGCGCAGAUAUCGGGAGGAACACCUGUGGCGAAGGCGGCCCCCUGGUUGGAUACUGACGCUGAGACGCGAAAGCGUGGGGAGCAAACAGG